AAAUGCGAUAAGUAAUGUGAAUUGCAGAAUUCCGUGAAUCAUCGAAUCUUUGAACGCACAUUGCGCCCUCUGGCACUCCGGGGGGCAUGCCUGUCCGAGCGUCAUUACGCACCCUCAAGCCCGGCUUGUGUGAUGGGCCCCGGCGUCUCGUUCGCGAGACGGGCCCGAAAGGCAGCGGCGGCGUCGACCCGAUGAGCCCGAGCGUAUGGGGACUUCUGUCACACGUUCGCGGUGCGGACCGGCGCCUGCUUGACUUUUCUGAUUAUCCAGGUUGACCUCGGAUCAGGUAGGGAUACCCGCUGAACUUAAGC
rnacentral:misc_RNA from 1 species